UUAUGUAAAGGGCUUGCUUGCUUGAAUAAAGUUGAUUCUGAUCCAGCACAUCGGAGUCCAUGAAUCAGACCACCAUACUGGGGAACCUGAGUUCUCUAGGGACAGGGACACGUCUUCCCAGGCAGGUUCUGCAUUUCAACCCUGAGCUGAAAUGUGUUCACUGCAUCAUUUCUUCCUUUCUUUCCAAGCAAAUCUGUGAAUUUUGCCAAGGGGUUUUGGUCUUUUUAAGUCUCUGGCUCACCUGCACUGCACCAAAUAGCUGUGGUGAUUUAAGCCAUUUACCAUUUAAUAGCAGUGUGCUCUUCCCCUGUACCAAAGAGAACAGAAUUUCUUCUUUUGUCCUGGCUACUGUAAUCCAUGCACUGGGGGAACAAAUCCACCUCAUCUGCUUUUUAGCUACAAUGAACUCUCAACUGGAGCAGUAUAAAAGGAAUUUCAGAAAACUCCAGGAUGCUGGAUGUUGGCAGCCUGUAUGGACAUCCCAAACACCAAUUGUCAAGAGCAUUACUUGCUCGUGAUGCUGUUGAUGAGGAACAGUGGAUUUUUUUCAUCUGUGGGUAAGCAUAGGAGAAAAAAAUUACCUCAGUAACAGCCCUGACACAGCAAGGUGAUAAGGCACAAUCUGAAAAGAAUCCAGUAGCUCCUGCCUUCUGCCAGCAGUUCACAGGAGAGGAAUCAACACAAGAACUAAAGUGGGUUUUGUUUCCCUUGCAGCCAAGCCUGGGGGCAGUCACUGUCAAAUUCAGUCACUGGUGUAAGCUAAGCAGCCUCAGAGUUACUCUAAAACUGUGCCAGCUUGCCAAGCUAACCAGAGGUUGCCAGUAUUCAAUGCCACCAGUGGCAUCCUUCAGUAAAGCCCCAAAGACAGUAAGUUAUGUUCACCAGGGAGUUCCCUACACUCAUACACCUGGGUACCGUAGGGCUCGAUAGCUAUCUGUGAUGCAAACCUGAAGAAAUUGGCCCACUCUCUGGCCAAUGUCUGACACAUUUUGUUCUAACCCGUCUUCAGCAAGCUACGUGUUUGAAUAGGAGGGGGCAGAUGGAUACGCUAUGUUGACACAUCUAUGACAAUGUGAGCAAGGAACAUAGAGCGUGCUUUAAAGGAGGUUAUUUGUUUUCAUGUCUUUAAGGGAUGCUGUCAGUCUUUAUGCUCAUCAGAAACAAAUAACAAACAAGUUUUCCAGGAAAGUGAGUGUGAUCUUAACAGCAUCUGACUACACAUGUGAAUAUUAUCUAAAUACAAUUUCUAUUGCAUUUUCUGUAAAGUAUCCUUGGGAAGAGUACUCCAUGAAAAAGAGACCUUUCUGUAAAAGCAGUGCAAAAAAUGACUAAAGAAUUAAAAACUUC